rnacentral:lncRNA from 1 species
CUAGCAGCUUCUCGACUGUCAUCUUUGGCUGCUCAAAGGUCACUGGUCCGUCCCGCGAGUUCACAAGCUUCUUGCCAAUGUUCUCGAUACCGGUAGAGGUCACCCACUUGCGCACCUCGUCGUCGUACACCCGAGCACGCAGAGCACCGAAAAAGUCUGUGUAGGAUUGACCAUCCUUUGUUAAUACUAUACAACUUGAUUGCCCUGAUGAAUAUAUAUUAUCUCUGCGGUGCAGUUGUGAGGAACAUACCGAUGGAUUGUCCUGGGAAGGUGUCGACGAUCUUGACGACGGACUCGUCGCUGACAUUGUCGGUCUGGAAGAUACCCUUGCAGACACCGAUACGGUCGUCGCGGGUGGGAGCCCAGUAGAACUUCUCCAUACGACCAUCACGGAUGAGAGGGGCGUACAACGUUGAGAAAUCGUUACCAGUGACGACGAUGGGCACACGAGGGUUCUCCUCCUUGUUGUACAUGCCUGGGAGCUGCACGUUGGUGGGGGCAUCGGCGAUGUUCAUGAGGGUGGCGUUCACCAUCUGGUUGUUGACGGUGUACUGUGUGGUCCCGCCCAUCCGACCCGCACCGGCGUCAAGAUCGUUGAUGAAGAGGCAGCACAUCUUACCCUUCUUGAUCAUGUCUGCAGCCUCACGGUACCGCUGCCUGAUGAGCUUGGCUGGCUCUCCGGCGUUGCCACUCUCCAGCUCUCCGGCACUCAUCAUGAUUGGGCUGUGGUGAAAAGCACACGUCAUUAUCUAUUACUAGCACUGUGGCUUGAUGCAUCUAUGACUGUGUGACAGUAUGUAUAAUAGAUGAAUGUGAAUUCCUACUUGAUGCCCAUCUUGGCGAAGACAAGCUCACACUGGAAGGAUUUUCCUUGACCCUUGCCUCCCCAGAUACCCAAGAUGAGUGGGAUCUGAAUUUCGAUUCAAGGUCAGUUCCAGAAUCAGAAUGAUUUUCUUGCUGCUAAUCAAUAGUCAUGAUGCAUACCUUGAUGUUGGGCAGGGUCAUGAAGUUCUUGGAGAGAUGGACAACAAGCUUGUCCAUGAAAGCAGGAGCGAUGUAGAAGCCUCCCAUGGUGUUGUCGAAGUCGUACUUCUUGAGUCCCUGGCUGACGUACUCGUAGGAGCUGAGGACGGCCUCGUGGGUGCCGUCGCCCGUGGGCGCCUGGAAGAGGGAGUCCACGAUGCCCUUCCCUCUGGUGAUGUCCUGCUGGUCGUCGGAGAUAUCGUAGGCAAGACCCUUCCACUUGUCUGUGUUCCUCUUCUCGUCGAUGUUUUCCGCUGCCAUGACUGUGAACCUGUUGGCCUUGGAGCUCUUGCCAUGGUAGUUCACGGCCGAGGUCACCUGCUUCUUGAGCUUCUUCCCGAGGAAGUUGGUCGGCGUAGAAGCCUGUAUACAUUACACACACACACACAUGAGACGCCGUUGAAGACAUUGAUACGAUAUCAUCACUAAACAAGAGAUGCAAUCAAUCAAUUGAUCGAUCGAUCAGUGUGUCAUACGCACCGGGGCACCGACGGUGGAGGAGAAGGCAGCAGCCAUCUCGGUGCUGCUUGGUCGACCUUGCUAGCAACGGUGGAUGCGCGGCUGUGCUGGUGAUCAGCGAUGAAUGACCGCUGCUGCUCAAAGUAUAGAGGCCCAGCUAUGAGAUGCCUUAAAUACACAUGGAUU